CCUCACAGCUCAGUUGGUAAAGAAUCUGCUUGCAAUGCAGGAGACCCAGGUUCGAUUCCUGGGUGGGAA
rnacentral:tRNA from 1 species